AAUGAAAUUUAGUCAAUUGUAAAUCUUUUAUCAUCAUCGUACUGUUUCAUGUUGUUUAGGUAGGAAUUUGGAUGAAUGCUGAUGUACCUCAUUGUAAUCCAGACUUAUGAAUUCCAUUUUGUUUCUGCAAAA